rnacentral:rRNA from 1 species
AGAGUUUGAUCCUGGCUCAGAUUGAACGCUGGCGGCAGGCCUAACACAUGCAAGUCGAGCGGAAACGAGUUAUCUGAACCUUCGGGGAACGAUAACGGCGUCGAGCGGCGGACGGGUGAGUAAUGCCUAGGGAAUUGCCCUGAUGUGGGGGAUAACCAUUGGAAACGAUGGCUAAUACCGCAUAAUGCCUACGGGCCAAAGAGGGGGACCUUCGGGCCUCUCGCGUCAGGAUAUGCCUAGGUGGGAUUAGCUAGUUGGUGAGGUAAGGGCUCACCAAGGCGACGAUCCCUAGCUGGUCUGAGAGGAUGAUCAGCCACACUGGAACUGAGACACGGUCCAGACUCCUACGGGAGGCAGCAGUGGGGAAUAUUGCACAAUGGGCGCAAGCCUGAUGCAGCCAUGCCGCGUGUGUGAAGAAGGCCUUCGGGUUGUAAAGCACUUUCAGUCGUGAGGAAGGUAGUGUAGUUAAUAGCUGCAUUAUUUGACGUUAGCGACAGAAGAAGCACCGGCUAACUCCGUGCCAGCAGCCGCGGUAAUACGGAGGGUGCGAGCGUUAAUCGGAAUUACUGGGCGUAAAGCGCAUGCAGGUGGUUUGUUAAGUCAGAUGUGAAAGCCCGGGGCUCAACCUCGGAAUUGCAUUUGAAACUGGCAGACUAGAGUACUGUAGAGGGGGGUAGAAUUUCAGGUGUAGCGGUGAAAUGCGUAGAGAUCUGAAGGAAUACCGGUGGCGAAGGCGGCCCCCUGGACAGAUACUGACACUCAGAUGCGAAAGCGUGGGGAGCAAACAGGAUUAGAUACCCUGGUAGUCCACGCCGUAAACGAUGUCUACUUGGAGGUUGUGGCCUUGAGCCGUGGCUUUCGGAGCUAACGCGUUAAGUAGACCGCCUGGGGAGUACGGUCGCAAGAUUAAAACUCAAAUGAAUUGACGGGGGCCCGCACAAGCGGUGGAGCAUGUGGUUUAAUUCGAUGCAACGCGAAGAACCUUACCUACUCUUGACAUCCAGAGAACUUUCCAGAGAUGGAUUGGUGCCUUCGGGAACUCUGAGACAGGUGCUGCAUGGCUGUCGUCAGCUCGUGUUGUGAAAUGUUGGGUUAAGUCCCGCAACGAGCGCAACCCUUAUCCUUGUUUGCCAGCGAGUAAUGUCGGGAACUCCAGGGGAAAUUGCCGGUGAUAAACCGGAAGGAA